UCAGAGAAGUGACAACCUCUCUGGGCUGCAGCAUACCACCUGCAAAGUGAACCUAAUACAGAACUUACCUCCGCAGCUCCCGAAGCGAGUUCAUUGAGUGUCGUUUAGCAAGACGUUUUAAGUGUCUCGGGAACCCGCCAGAAGUGCUGGCGGCAACCAGGCACGUGGGGGGCGUGUCCUGAACUUUCAGGGCGCUUUAAGAUGGAAACGUACUUUUUUUUUUUAAGAUUUUAUUUAUUUGACAGAGCCAGCCAGCGAGAGAGGGAACACAAGCAGGGGGAGUGGGAGAGGAAGAAGCAGGCUCCCAGCGGAGGAGCCUGAUGUGGGGCUCGAUUCCAGAACGCUGGGAUCACACCCUGAGCAAAAGGCAGACAUUUGACGACUGCACCACCCAGGCGCUCCGGAAACGUACUUUUUGCCCUCUCCUUGUCUGUAGUUUCGGGAGUAUGUCCAAAUGUUUUGCCCUUGCCUCCUGGGAGGGCUCGGUGAAGCCGUUCCUACCCUCAAGUUAAGGGGAGCCACGUGUCUUGGGCAGUUCCAGAUCAGGCCCCUGCCUCAUGGCAACCGAAAGCAAAGCCUUCGCUCCCUAAGCCCAGCUCGGGACACGCUUCGCACAGUGGCUCGGAGAGGACCCAUGGCUCCGCGUCUGAGGGCACAGGCCGGUCACAGGCUGAGGCUGUCAGGCUCCCACCCUCGCUUGCUGGGUGACCCUGGGCAAGUGACUUCCCCUCUCUGAGGACAAACACAGGACCCCGCUGAAGAACCACGAAAUGUCCAGAAAAGAUCGAUAGGGACAGAAAGCAGACUGGUGAUCGCCUGGCUAGCUUACGGGUUCAGGCUUGUUCUUUUGGGGGGGGGUGGUGACGAUGUGCUUCAGUGACUGUGGGUAUGACUGCGACCUCUGCGGCCACUCUGGUUUCUAAGCCACUGGUCUGCAGGCCACUACAAAUGAGCCAACUGUAUACUUCAAGUGAUCUGUGUACUUCACAUUUUAUAGUAUGUGAAGUCUAUCUCAAAACAAACUGUUAUAAAAAAUAAAUCUCGGGGCACCUGGGUGGCGCAGUCGUUAAGCGUCUGCCUUCGGCUCAGGGCGUGAUCCUGGCGUUCCGGGAUCGAGUCCCACAUCGGGCUUCCUCCGCUGGGAGCCUGCUUCUUCCUCUCCCACUCCCCCUGCUUGUGUUCCCUCUCUCACUGGCUGUCUCUCUGUCACAUAAAUAAAUAAAAUCUUUAAAAAUAAAUAAAUAAAUAAAUCUCGCCCGGCUCAUAGACACGUGUCCCGAGUGUUGGCUAUUAUCACACAC
rnacentral:lncRNA from 1 species